AUACUUACCUGGCAGGGGAGACACCAUGAUCAAGCAGGUGGUUCACCCAGGGCGAGACUCGGCCAUUGCACUGCGGCAGUGUUGACCCCUGCGAAUGGGCCCUCAGACUGUACGGAGUGCAAAGGACGGCCCUCGGACUGCGCGC
rfam:Tetraodon nigroviridis, WGS project CAAE01000000 data, contig: CNS0BWNH, chromosome: undetermined